CGAGGCGAACCGGGGGAACUGAAACAUCUCAGUACCCCGAGGAAAAGAAAUCAACCGAGAUUCCCCCAGUAGCGGCGAGCGAACAGGGAGCAGCCCAGAGUCAGCAUCAAUAUUUACCGUAGGAGAAGGGUCUGGAAAGGCCGGCAAUAAAGGGUGAUAGCCCCGUAUCUGAAACGGUAAGUGUUGUGAACUCGAAGAGUAGGGCGGGACACGUGUUAUCCUGUCUGAAUAUGGGGGGACCAUCCUCCAAGGCUAAAUACUCCUGACUGACCGAUAGUGAACCAGUACCGUGAGGGAAAGGCGAAAAGAACCCCGGCGAGGGGAGUGAAAUAGAACCUGAAACCGUGUACGUACAAGCAGUGGGAGCCGGUGACUGCGUACCUUUUGUAUAAUGGGUCAGCGACUUAUAUUCUGUAGCAAGGUUAACCGCAUAGGGGAGCCGUAGGGAAACCGAGUUUUAACUGGGCGUUAAGUUGCAGGGUAUAGACCCGAAACCCGGUGAUCUAGCCAUGGGCAGGUUGAAG
rnacentral:rRNA from 1 species